ACCAUCUUUGUAUGACUAGUAUCACGGAUACAAUGUACACGUAUAUUCGUCCCUGCAGUCUAAAAAUUACCGAAUAAAAUCACAUUGGAAAUGUGCGUACACUUCAGGAUAAAUAUGAUCAAAAAUGCGUCCAUGGGAUAUUCGAAGACAUUGUUGCUCUCCUCGUUGGAUGAGGUUGUGUGGAUGGUAUCGUCCGAGUUUCCGCUGAUCACGUCUGAUUUUUGUCCAGAGGAACUUCCACUGGUAUAACCGGUCUUCUUGGAGACUCUAUUCACGGUGGAUCUUCUCCAAUUUUUGACUUGUUCGCUACGUAUCCACUGCUGCUGCCUCUUGUUGUGGUGCCUGGCGUGGUCAUUAGAAGCUAGCUCCUGCCUGUUGUCCAGUUUCAGAGAUGCCAUCGUAUUGUACAGUAUUGUGACGACUCGGAAAUGUUUUCCUGUGUUGUGGUUUAAAGGACCUCUUCUCUCGGUCGGUAUCAAAGUGUGUAUUGCCUGAUCUGGCCGGGCCUCGCCUUUUAUAUGUGUACCGUCGUUUCGUUGAAUGGCUUUGAACUCUAAUCGAUCGAUUGAGGUAUUUAAAUUUUUCUUGUCAUUCAAAGGUUGGAAGGUCCGGGUAAUUGCCGUGACGUCAUUGGAGUCGGCUUUUAAUCCGUAUAAGCUUGUCAUAGAUUUCGGGGAACGAUGCUUUUUGGUGGUAGUAACAGGUACAUCUAUACCCGUCCUCUGUUUUGAUAGAAGAAAAUCUGAUUUCUUAUUUUUCUCUGAAUGUUGAACAGUUGGGUUGAUGUCGGGAAGAAAUUUUUGCUUCUGUUGUUCCUCUUUUUUAGGAGGCCAUGGCAAAGCUACAGUAAAUUGUCUGCGAAUCGGUGAUGGCCUUUUCCUUUUUUCAAACACAGGGGGUAUUGCAGUGGACCCGUUGAAACCAAACUCACACUGGGAAAGAGCACGGGGAAAGGGGAUGAUAUCCAUUGCGUCUAGGGUCGAAGAGAACUUUUCCUUGCAUGCAAUUUUAUUGUGUUAACUACAAAAACAAAUAAAAUGCCGAUUACACGCGACAAAUAUCUAACUAACCACAGGAAAGUCUUCAGAUCUAAUUUUACUUCGUGUUUGUUUACUCUAACUAUUGUGGCGCUCAGCAGCCCGGUAUAAAAAUGGAGAAACUAAUUCAAAUAUUUGAAUCUGAAAUCAAUAAAUCAACUUAAGAUAAUGUACUAUUCUGUCAAAAAGAAAGGAUUAAACGGCUUUUU
rnacentral:sRNA from 1 species